rnacentral:rRNA from 1 species
CCCAGGUCUGGCGGGGCUACCCGCUGAAUUU